CAAGCGGUGGAGCAUGUGGUUUAAUUCGAUGCAACGCGGAGAACCUUACCUACUCUUGACAUCCAGCGAACUUAGCAGAGAUGCUUUGGUGCCUUCGGGAACGCUGAGACAGGUGCUGCAUGGCUGUCGUCAGCUCGUGUUGUGAAAUGUUGGGUUAAGUCCCGCAACGAGCGCAACCCUUAUCCUUUGUUGCCAGCGAUACGGUCGGGGACUCAAAGGAGACUGCCGGUGAUAAACCGGAGGAAGGUGGGGAUGACGUCAAGUCAUCAUGGCCCUUACGAGUAGGGCUACACACGUGCUACAAUGGCGCAUACAAAGAGAAGCGACCUCGCGAGAGCAAGCGGACCUCAGAAAGUGCGUCGUAGUCCGGAUCGGAGUCUGCAACUCGACUCCGUGAAGUCGGAAUCGCUAGUAAUCGUGGAUCAGAAUGCCACGGUGAAUACGUUCCCGGGCCUUGUACACACC
rnacentral:rRNA from 1 species